rnacentral:rRNA from 1 species
UACAGAGGUCUCAAGCGUUGUUCGGAUUCAUUGGGCGUAAAGGGUGCGUAGGUGGCGAGGUAAGUCGGGUGUGAAAUCUCGGAGCUUAACUCCGAAACUGCAUUCGAUACUGGCGUGCUUGAGGACUGGAGAGGAGACUGGAAUUCAUGGUGUAGCAGUGAAAUGCGUAGAGAUCAUGAGGAAGACCAGUGGCGAAGGCGGGUCUCUGGACAGUUCCUGACACUGAGACACGAAGGCCAGGGGAGCAAACGGG